rnacentral:lncRNA from 1 species
GUUCUUUUCACUUUCACAGUUGAAGAAGCAGGCAUCUCUUAAGGUAAGGGUUAGGGUUAGCAUUACCGUUAGCGGUUAGGGUCAGGUUUAGAUCAUGCUUGCACACCCCCUCGUCGCUGGAAGGUAUUCAUGCAAUAUCACCCUCCCUCAGCGAGCAGGAGAAUAGUCACACAUGCACCCUGUCUCCUUCGGUGCGGGAGGGCAUUCACACAUGUGCCCCAACCCCUUCGGCUGGGAAAGGCAUUCAAGUAUUUGCACAAACCACCCACGGCAAGGGAGCGAGUUGGCGCAUGCGCCGUGUCCCCCUGGGCAUGGGAGGUGGUUCACUCAUGCACCCCACCCCCUCAGCGAGGGAGCGUGUCAUCCCUGAACAGAGCCACCUCUCGGUGAGGGAGUAGUGUUGCCACUAUUAAAUGUGACAUUUCAUCAAUCGUUCUUUUCACUUUCACAGCUGAAGAAUCACGCAUCACUUAAGCUGAAGAAACACGCAUCUCUUCAGCUGAAGAAACACGAAUCUUUUUUUUUUAUUUUUUAUAUAUGAAAUUUAUUGUCAAAUUGGUUUCCAUACAACACCCAGUGCUCAUCCCAAAAGGUGCCCUCUUCAAUACCCAACACGAAUCUUUGAAGAUGAAGAAACACCUGUCUCUUAAGGUAAGUGUUAGGGUUAGCAUUACCAUCAUGCAUAGGGUAAGGCCCAGGUCAUGCUUCCUCCCCUGGGGCACGAAAGUUUUUCAGGCAUUAGUGCACCCCCCCUUUUGCACAAGAGGGGGUUCAUGCAUGUGCCCCUCCUUGACGAAGGAGGUGUUCUCCAUUGUGUCGUUGCCUUGGGGAGGGAGUGGUGUCACUCAUGCACUCAGCCCCACCUCCACGGGGGAGGGGGUCACGCAUGCACCCCCUCUGCCUCCCUUCAUCAGGCGAGGUAGCGGUGAUGUUUCUUUUAGGUCAGACUUUUUUUUCUGCGGUGUGUAGGUUGCUCAGUGGGUUAAGCGUCUCACUUCCGCUCAAGUCAUGGUCUCAUGGUUUGUGGGUUCCAUCCCUGGGUCAGCCUCUGUGCUGACGGCUCUGAACCUGGAGCCUGCUUCAGAUGCUGUGUGUGUGCCUCUCUCUCUGCCCCUUCCCUACUUGUAUUCUUUCUCUCUCCCUCUCUCUCAAAAAAAAAUGAAGCUAAAAGCAUUUUAAAGCAGCUCCAUAGGUCUUCUUGUCUCUUAUCCUAUUCCUGCCUCUUCAUGGGAAGGUCCAUUUAACCAACUGGAAGAGACCGUAAAACCCUCGUG